GCAGACACAUUCCAGCCAAUCAGCAGAAGACCCUCCCUCCCAGACCCUCCCACCUCCUGGACAGCAUCCAUUUUGAAGCUGCAUUCUUAAUGAGCUGUCCAGGAGGUGGGAGGGUCUGGGAGGGAGGGUCUGCUGCUGAUUGGUUGGAAUGUGUCUG
rnacentral:miRNA from 1 species